rnacentral:rRNA from 1 species
CCUACGGGUGGCAGCAGUGGGGAAUAUUGGGCAAUGGGCGCAAGCCUGACCCAGCAAUGCCGCGUGAAGGAAGAAGGCUUUCGGGUUGUAAACUUCUUUGACAGGGGAAGAGAAGAAGACGGUACCCUGAAAACAAGCCACGGCUAACUACGUGCCAGCAGCCGCGGUAAUACGUAGGUGGCAAGCGUUGUCCGGAUUUACUGGGUGUAAAGGGCGUGUAGCCGGGAAGGAAAGUCAGAUGUGAAAUCUGGAGGCUCAACCUCCAAAUUGCAUUUGAAACUGUUUUCCUUGAGUGCAGGAGGGGCAGGCGGAAUUCCUGGUGUAGCGGUGAAAUGCGUAGAUAUCAGGAGGAACACCGGUGGCGAAGGCGGCCUGCUGGACUGCAACUGACGUUGAGGCCCGAAAGCGUGGGGAGCAAACAGGAUUAGAUACCCGUGUAGUC